CCUUAACAAGACAAGUUCAAUUGAUAAUUUUCCCGAAAUUAAUUUAAUACAAUCAAUUGAUCAACUUGUUGCAUAAUUGUGAACUAGCUCACCUUUUAUCCAUUAAAAGGAUGCUGUAGUGGAGGUCCUUCCUCAGGUUAAUCUUGUCUGGUUACGUUACCCUGUAUAGAAACAAGAUUAGAUUAGGUUUUAUUUCAACUUUAAAUAGCUGAUCUUGUAAUUCCAAUGUUUUCAGCUAACCUGUAGUUGCUCUGCUAUUUCCCCAGAGCAUGUGCAGUAAUGUCUCCAGGUUUGCAUGAGGGCAAUGUCUUGUGCACCAGCUCAGCAAGUUAUCAGAUUAUGCAAAUAUUAUUUGCCAUAUGUGUCAGGAUUAUGAUAUCAUUUUAUAAUAAAUAUUUCCAUAAUUAA